GUACCCUCAAGCUCUGCUUGGUGUUGGGUGUUUGUCUAUGCUUUUGCUUGGACUCACCUCAAAGCAAUUGGCAGCCAGUGUUUUGGCAUAGAAGCGCAGCACAUCUUGCACUUCCAGUCUUAAACACCAGCUUCCAGUAAGUCCCUUUAC
rnacentral:misc_RNA from 1 species